rnacentral:lncRNA from 1 species
AGUGUGUAUGUGUGUGUGUGUUCCAGGAUAGUGUGUGUAGGGUACUAUAAGAGUGUGUGUGUGUUCCAGGAUAGUGUGUGUAGGGUACUAUAAGAGUGUGUGUGUGUGUUCCAGGAUAGUGUGUGUAGGGUACUAUAAGAGUGUGUGUGUGUGUGUGUGUGUUCCAGGAUAGUGUGUGUAGGGUACUAUAAGAGUGUGUGUGUGUGUUCCAGGAUAGUGUGUGUAGGGUACUAUAAGAGUGUGUGUGUGUGUUCCAGGAUAGUGUGUGUAGGGUACUAUAAGAGUGUGUGUGUGUGUGUUCCAGGAUAGUGUGUGUAGGGUACUAUAAGAGUGUGUGUGUGUGUGUUCCAGGAUAGUGUGUGUAGGGUACUAUAAGAGUGUGUGUGUGUGUGUGUGUUCCAGGAUAGUGUGUGUAGGGUACUAUAAGAGUGUGUGUGUGUGUGUGUGUGUGUGUGUGUGUGUGUGUGGUACUAUAAGUGUGUGUGUGUGUGUGUUCCAGGAUAGUGUGUGUAGGGUACUAUAAGAGUGUGUGUGUGUGUGUGUGUUCCAGGAUAGUGUGUGUAGGGUACUAUAAGAUAGUGUGUGUAGGGUACUAUAAGAGUGUGUGUGUGUGUGUGUGUUCCAGGAUAGUGUGUGUAGGGUACUAUAAGAGUGUGUGUGUGUGUUCCAGGAUAGUGUGUGUGGGGUACUAUAAGAGUGUGUGUGUGUGUUCCAGGAUAGUGUGUGUAGGGUACUAUAAGUGUGUGUGUGUGUUCCAGGAUAGUGUGUGUAGGGUACUAUAAGAGUGGUACUAUAAGUGUGUGUGUGUGUUCCAGGAUAGUGUGUGUAGGGUACUAUAAGAGUGUGUGUGUGUUCCAGGAUAGUGUGUGUAGGGUACUAUAAGUGUGUGUGUGUGUUCCAGGAUAGUGUGUGUGGGGUACUAUAAGAGUGUGUGUGUGUGUUCCAGGAUAGUGUGUGUGGGGUACUAUAAGAGUGUGUGUGUGUGUUCCAGGAUAGUGUGUGUAGGGUACUAUAAGAGUGUGUGUGUGUGUUCCAGGAUAGUGUGUGUAGGGUACUAUAAGAGUGUGUGUGUGUUCCAGGAUAGUGUGUGUAGGGUACUAUAAGUGUGUGUGUGUGUGUUCCAGGAUAGUGUGUGUAGGGUACUAUAAGAGUG